GGGGAUAUAGCUCAGUGGUAGAGCAUUCGCCUGCAGAUCGAGAGGUCCCUGGUUUGAACCCGGGUUUCCCUU
rnacentral:tRNA from 1 species